UAGGGAAUCUUCCACAAUGGGCGCAAGCUUGAUGGAGCAACACCGCGUGAGUGAAGAAGGGUUUCGGCUCGUAAAGCUCUGUUGUUGGAGAAGAACGUGCGUGAGAGUAACUGUUCACGCAGUGACGGUAUCCAACCAGAAAGUCACGGCUAACUACGUGCCAGCAGCCGCGGUAAUACGUAGGUGGCAAGCGUUAUCCGGAUUUAUUGGGCGUAAAGCGAGCGCAGGCGGUUGCUUAGGUCUGAUGUGAAAGCCUUCGGCUUAACCGAAGAAGUGCAUCGGAAACCGGGCGACUUGAGUGCAGAAGAGGACAGUGGAACUCCAUGUGUAGCGGUGGAAUGCGUAGAUAUAUGGAAGAACACCAGUGGCGAAGGCGGCUGUCUGGUCUGCAACUGACGCUGAGGCUCGAAAGCAUGGGUAGCGAACA
rnacentral:rRNA from 1 species